rnacentral:lncRNA from 1 species
CAGGGCUGCUGUGAUAGUUCCAGAGAACCCAGGAUGAGGAGGGGGCAGGUGAGGCCACCGGAGGAUGGGCUUCAUUUGGGACAAGUUGAGUGGAUGACACCUGCAGAAAUCUGGCUAGAACAGGGGCUUCAGUGAGUGCGUGACAGAUGGAAAACCCAGACUGCUGAGCACAGUGGACUUGAAUGGAGACUGCUGGUGGCUGCUGGUGUAUGUGAGGCUGAACCUCUUGCAACUGCCAUCUUUACAGAUUGAGAACAGCCUAAUACUGGUUCCCUCCAGUCCCUGCUGCAGAUGCCUCCUCCCCACAGGAUCCUCGGAGUGAAAUUCUCAUCUCUCAUAGCCCUUGUUAGCUGCCGACUUCAGCCUUGUGUACCACCGAGACUUCUGGAAUGACACCACCAUUUCUUAGCUGGCUCCAAUGAUAAAGCCAGCCACCAAGAAGCACACUGUUGGGCACAACUGCAUUUUUAUAACAAAGUGGGCUUGCAGCUCUGGGGCCUAAGCAACAGAGGAAUGUGUGGACAAGUUAUGUUCCAUUCCUGCUCCCCAGCAGGGACUCUGUUACUGCUGGGACUAGGUCUGUUACAGUUUUACAAACAAGAAAAAGGGGCGUCUGGAUGGCAAUCCAUAAGAAUGGGUUGCCAAAGGCCUUAACUCCAUAUUCAGAGUCAGAAAACUUGAGUUCCUUCUGUUAAGACACUGUAGACCUUGGAGAAAGAUCCAUAACCUCCCCAAGACACAGCUUUCUGAUCUGUGAAAUGAGGAUAAUAGUGCAAAUCAAACAUCAUUCGAUGCAUAUUUAUGCAGUUGGUGCUGAUUAGAAAUAGAUUUGGCUCCUUUGACAUCCUGAAAUGACUGAAAUAAGCGUUGUGUCCUGUCACCAGCAUGCGGCUGAAAUUGAUCGGACAGCCUCAACUGCUCAUCAGUGAAAAUGGCUGCGAGGAGAGUAACUUUUCACUUUGUUUCACCUGUGAUCUGGGUCUGGCGAGCCGGUCAAUACUCCAGUUACUAGGAGCUGCCUUCGAAGCUUGGAGGGCUGGAUCCCUGCAACCCAGCUAGGACUGAUCUGUGUGUGUGGCGGGGAUGUGGCCAGCAUCCUCCACGACCCAGCUCCCUCAUGAGUCUGCAACACCUGGCCCUCAGGACUGCGUGAUGGGUGCCCCGUGAGAUCCAAUUCCACUGUGAACUAUGCUGACAUCCAUCAAGGCCUUUACCUCCUGCCUCUUGGUUUGAAAUGGGUCUCCAAGACUUCCACCAUCCACAAGUGAUCCAGAAAUGGCUCUGGCAGUACCCAAGCGUUCCUUGAAGGCAGGUCCGGGUCUGGUUCUCCGGAUCCCAACACCACAAGGCGGCAGUGGUCUUGUACAAUGUCUCUGUAUUCCCAAGUCCCCAUCUGCGAGCAUGGCCACUGGAAAUAACUGCAGCUGUAUACUGACUUAAAGAUCCAAAAAUCCCAGGAAAGACCCCAGAGCUGUGAGCCAGACGC